CAAAAGGCACCUCAGACACAGAUCUGUGUUCUACACCUCAUGACAAACACCUGUGACACCUGCACACGUCCUCACUUUCAGGUAAUACACAUGAUACUGCUUUUCAUUCACUCCAGGAGGGCAAUGGAUUUUGCUUUCUCUUCUCAAAAAGUCACUGCUUUCUCCUUAUAUGUAUUGUGCCCUACCUGCUCCAAGAACACACAGCAUUCCAGUUUUCUGCUUAGACACAAGGGCUACCCUCUGUGGCCUGAACAUAUAUUGCACAACAAAGCAAAGCUGCUGAGGCGACUUCAAACUUGCUUGAACCAUCCCAGAUUCUCACAUCACUCCUGCCUGCAGGAGGGGUUUCAGGUAUGAUUGACUGAACCUCAAGUCCUGCUGCCAGUGAAACCAACUGGAGCUGAUUCAGCCCUCAGGGGAGAUGGUGUUUCACCUUCAGACCACGAACCUGGAGGCAGGAUGGAAACAGUAACUGACUCCAGUACAGGAAAAGGAUGUUCAACUACCUGGAGAUUAAGAUGGAUUUGAACAUUCCCCCUGUUCAGCACAAAUGCAGCUGUUUGAGAAGUCAAAUCAUGAAAGGAAAUACAAAUUUCAGCUC